GAACUGCGAUAAGUAAUGUGAAUUGCAGAAUUCAGUGAAUCAUCGAGUCUUUGAACGCACAUUGCGCCCCCUGGCAUUCCGGGGGGCAUGCCUGUCCGAGCGUCAUUGCUGCCCUCAAGCCCGGCUUGUGUGUUGGGUCGUCGUCCCCCCCGGGGGACGGGCCCGAAAGGCAGCGGCGGCACCGUGUCCGGUCCUCGAGCGUAUGGGGCUUUGUCACCCGCUCGAUUAGGGCCGGCCGGGCGCCAGCCGGCGUCUCCAACCUUAUUUUUCUCAGGUUGACCUCGGAUCAGCUAGGGAUACCCGCUGAACUUAAGC
rnacentral:misc_RNA from 1 species